GUCCCUGUAGCGCAAUGGAUAGCGUGAUGGACUUCUAAUUCAGAGGUUGUGUGUUUGAAUCCCACUUGGGAUG
rnacentral:tRNA from 1 species